rnacentral:rRNA from 1 species
GACGAACGCUGGCGGCGUGCCUAAUACAUGCAAGUCGAACGCAGCGGGGACGGGCGAGUAACACGUGGGUAACCUCCCAUCAGAGGGGAUAACACAUGGAAACAGGUGCUAAACCGAUACUGAUGGAUGGACCCGCGGUGCAUUAGCUAGUUGGUGAGGUAACGGCGCACCAAGGCCCCGGUGCAUAGCGGACCUGAGAGAGGGUUCGCCCACGCGGGUACUGGUACGCGGCCCUGACUCCGACGGGAGGCAGCGAGAGGGAAUCAUGGGCAAAGGGCGAAGGUCAGACCGAGCAACGCCGGGUGAGGGAAGAAGGUUUUCGGUUCGUAAAACUCUAGUAUUGGAGAAGCGGUAUCUAACCAGAAAGCCACGGCUAACUACGUGCCAGCAGCCGCGGUAAUUC